rnacentral:sRNA from 1 species
ACCCUUCCGGUUGCAGCCUGAGUCAUCAGGCUGAUGGCUGGUGACUUUUUGGUCACCAGCCU